AAUUUUAGUCCCAAUUCUUUAUUAAAUGGUAUAUUUUGAGUGUAAAUUUAUAUAAAACUUAUGGCCACACUGCUUGAAGUUUCGAGCAUUGCGAGCUUAGAAGUUGAUUAAUUUGGACGUUUUUUCUUCACAAUUUUUCCCAUCAAAAAUGGCAAGCUAAUCUACUUCAUUUUGGCCCAACCUAAUGAAUCUGGUUAAUAUUUCAAACCUCGUACAAAGUGAUCCCAAUAAUGACCUACAUGACUUGAAAGUUUUUCUAAAAAGCCAAUUCCCUGGAAAUGCGGUACAAGUGUUUCUUUUUGGAUCACGCUUUUUAGGCGUGGGUAAUGAGAGGUCAGAUUUUGAUGUUUGUGUUAAAAUUGAUAAUGGUUUCAUCGAGCAGAAUAUUACGCGCAUAAAAUAUGCCAUUAAAUCAGAUG